rnacentral:rRNA from 1 species
AUUGAACGCUGGCGGCACGCUUUACACAUGCAAGUCGAACGGCAGCACAGGGAGCUUGCUCCUGGGUGGCGAGUGGCGAACGGGUGAGUAAUGUAUCGGAACGUGCCUGGUAGUGGGGGAUAACUACUCGAAAGAGUGGCUAAUACCGCAUGAGAUCUUUGGAUGAAAGCGGGGGACCUUCGGGCCUCGUGCUACUGGAGCGGCCGAUAUCAGAUUAGGUUGUUGGUGGGGUAAAGGCCUACCAAGCCUGCGAUCUGUAGCUGGUCUGAGAGGACGACCAGCCACACUGGGACUGAGACACGGCCCAGACUCCUACGGGAGGCAGCAGUGGGGAAUUUUGGACAAUGGGCGCAAGCCUGAUCCAGCAAUGCCGCGUGCAGGACGAAGGCCUUCGGGUUGUAAACUGCUUUUGUACAGAACGAAAAGUCUCUGGCUAAUAUCUAGAGAUCAUGACGGUACUGUAAGAAUAAGCACCGGCUAACUACGUG